GGACGCUUAGCUCAGCUGGGAGAGCAUCUGCCUUGCAAGCAGGGGGUCAUAGGUUCGAGCCCUAUAGCGUCCACCA
rnacentral:tRNA from 1 species